rfam:Glycine soja cultivar W05 scaffold669_42, whole genome shotgun sequence.
AUACUUUUCUCCACCUUUUGGCUAAGAUCAAGUGCAUAUCUGUUCUUAGCAGUUUUAUAUUUGAUAUGUGGGCCAUUGGCUCAAAUGAAAUUUAAUUUAAUUUUUUGAAGCAGAUGGUUCACCACAGUAGCUUGUCAUAACAAUUUGAAAUGGAAGUUGAGAGUUCCAAAAUUUCUCUGGAUUAUAUAAUUGUU